rnacentral:rRNA from 1 species
AAGCUUUGGUUGGGGCGACGCGGAGAAAGAAGAUCCUCGGCUACUAUAAUUACAAUACUGCAAUCAAAAUUAAUGAUCCACUAAGGUGAUCGAAGAAAAAAGUUACCGCAUGGAUAACAGCAUUAUCUUUUCAGAGAGUUCACAUUGACGAAAAGGUUUGCGACCUCGAUGUUGGAUCAGGACAUCAUAAGAAUGCAGAAGCUU